CUUCACGGCACUAACCCGCUCCUGUCCCAGUCAUUUUUGUGCUUAUGCAACUCUCCUACUCUUGUAGUUGCAUAGUCACAAAAGUGAUUGGGACACGGCGAGCGCUCACUACCUACUAC
rnacentral:precursor_RNA from 8 species